rnacentral:rRNA from 1 species
UACGUAGGGUGCAAGCGUUGUCCGGAAUUAUUGGGCGUAAAGAGCUCGUAGGCGGUUUGUUGCGUCGGCUGUGAAAUCCCGAGGCUCAACCUCGGGUCUGCAGUCGAUACGAGCAAACUAGAGUGUUGCAGGGGAGACUGGAAUUCCUGGUGUAGCGGUGAAAUGCGCAGAUAUCAGGAGGAACACCCGUAGCGAAGGCGGCACUCUGGGCCGAUACUGACACUGAGGAGCGAAAGCGUGGGGAGCGAACAG